rnacentral:rRNA from 1 species
UGAGAGUGGCGCACGGGUGCGUAACGCGUGAGCAACCUACCUCUAUCAGGGGGAUAGCCUCUCGAAAGAGAGAUUAACACCGCAUAAUAUAAUGUACCGGCAUCGGGAUAUUAUUAAAUAUUUAUAGGAUAGAGAUGGGCUCGCGUGACAUUAGCUAGUUGGUAGGGUAACGGCUUACCAAGGCGACGAUGUCUAGGGGCUCUGAGAGGAGAAUCCCCCACACUGGUACUGAGACACGGACCAGACUCCUACGGGAGGCAGCAGUAAGGAAUAUUGGUCAAUGGGCGGAAGCCUGAACCAGCCAUGCCGCGUGCAGGAUGACUGCCCUAUGGGUUGUAAACUGCUUUUGUCCAGGAAUAAACCUAUAUACGUGUAUAUAGCUGAAUGUACUGGAAGAAUAAGGAUCGGCUAACUCCGUGCCAGCAGCCGCGGUAAUACGGAGGAUCCGAGCGUUAUCCGGAUUUAUUGGGUUUAAAGGGUGCGUAGGCGGCCUAUUAAGUCAGGGGUGAAAUACGGUGGCUCAACCAUCGCAGUGCCUUUGAUACUGAUGGGCUUGAAUCCAUUUGAAGUGGGCGGAAUAAGACAAGUAGCGGUGAAAUGCAUAGAUAUGUCUUAGAACUCCGAUUGCGAAGGCAGCUCACUAAGCUGGUAUUGACGCUGAUGCACGAAAGCGUGGGGAUCGAACAGGAUUAGAUACCCUGGUAGUCCACGCCCUAAACGAUGAUAACUCGAUGUUGGCGAUAGACAGCCAGCGUCUUAGCGAAAGCGUUAAGUUAUCCACCUGGGGAGUACGCCCGCAAGGGUGAAACUCAAAGGAAUUGACGGGGGCCCGCACAAGCGGAGGAGCAUGUGGUUUAAUUCGAUGAUACGCGAGGAACCUUACCCGGGCUUGAAAGUUAGUG